rnacentral:misc_RNA from 1 species
GAAAUGCGAUAAGUAAUGUGAAUUGCUGAAUUCAGUGAAUCAUCGAAUCUUUGAACGCACAUUGCGCCCGCCAGUAUUCUGGCGGGCAUGCCUGUUCGAGCGUCAUUUCAACCAUCAAGCCCCGGGCUUGUGUUGGGGACCUGCGGCUGCCGCAGGCCCUGAAAACCAGUGGCGGGCUCGCUGUCACACCGAGCGUAGUAGAUUCUCAUCUCGCUCAGGGCGUGCUGCGGGUUCCGGCCGUAAAACAGCCUUAUUUUACCCAAGGUUGACCUCGGAUCAGGUAGGAAGACCCGCUGAACUUAAGC